rnacentral:rRNA from 1 species
AUGAACGUCGCGUUUGGGUCAUCCAGGAAGUAAAAGUCGUAACAAGGUCUCCGUAGGUGAACCUGCGGAGGGAUCAUUACAAGUGACCCCGGUCUAACCACCGGGAUGUUCAUAACCCUUUGUUGUCCGACUCUGUUGCCUCCGGGGCGACCCUGCCUUCGGGCGGGGGCUCCGGGUGGACACUUCAAACUCUUGCGUAACUUUGCAGUCUGAGUAAACUUAAUUAAUAAAUUAAAACUUUUAACAACGGAUCUCUUGGUUCUGGCAUCGAUGAAGAACGCAGCGAAAUGCGAUAAGUAAUGUGAAUUGCAGAAUUCAGUGAAUCAUCGAAUCUUUGAACGCACAUUGCGCCCCCUGGUAUUCCGGGGGGCAUGCCUGUUCGAGCGUCAUUUCACCACUCAAGCCUCGCUUGGUAUUGGGCAACGCGGUCCGCCGCGUGCCUCAAAUCGACCGGCUGGGUCUUCUGUCCCCUAAGCGUUGUGGAAACUAUUCGCUAAAGGGUGUUCGGGAGGCUACGCCGUAAAACAACCCCAUUUCUAAGGUUGACCUCGGAUCAGGUAGGGAUACCCGCUGAACUUAAGCAUAUCAAU